ACGUAGGAACUAGGCAAGAAAAAAAAAAAUCACCUUAAUAUAUUCUAAUUUUGUCAAGAAUUUAAAAAAAUCAUCAAUAAGCACAUUGCUGAAUAUAUCCCGCUCUGCUCACUCACUCCGUGGGGUCAGUCGCUCAACCCAGAAUGGCCUGCUGGUUCCAAAAUAUGCAAGGAGAAAUUUAAUUGUUUAGAAAUAAACUGGUGUUGGCACCCCAUAAACUAAAAUAAUCACCAAAACUAUGCCAUUCGUUUGUGCUACGUUUGUGCUGAUUUGUGCCGCAGAAAUGAACGUUUGUGCUGGUUUGGUGUUUGAGAUAUUAAACAUUCUUUUUUUGACUGUAUGACGUCACUCUCCACACCAUGUUGCCCAAAUCGUUCCAAACCAGCGCAGUUCAUUUGUGCUCGAUUUUUGCCACUAAAACAAACACUGUAUCUAUUUUCCUUCCAUAGAUAUAUCCAAAAUAUUUUCGAAGUCUCCUUCCCAGUUCGUCUAAAUUGCCCAAAACUGGUGACAUUAGUUUGUGCUGGUUUGUGUUGUUGAAAUGAACGUCAAAUAUAUUUCUUCUUCUUAGAAAUAACAAAAACAAUUCUGGGCACAGAAACAGAAACCUGUGCAGUUUGUUUGUGCUCGAUUUGUGCUGUUUUGUGUCGUAGAAAGAACCAUCAAAAAUUAUUCCAUUCUUUAGUUUAAACAUCACAAAAUCUUUGGAGGAGUAGUAACGUCAUGCAAGCAGGCAGCGAUCUCCAUCCAUCUUGAAUCCAACCUGUCGGGUUCGUUUGUCUGUCAUUGUUCUUUUCUUUGUUAGAUAUGGAAAUGUUUUAUUUUCAGUGACUUUAUCAAUCUCCAGAUAAAAAAAAGGUAGGUUAUGUGAUUGAUUGAUGCUAAGGCUAUUGCUUGUUUAUUAAAAAAUUCAUGUGGUGUGUCCCAGCUUUUUGAAAACUUUGUAGCAUGUCGGAACAUUGCGACGCACACUCUUUGUUUGUUUGUUUUUCCUUUUAUUAUGUUUUUUUAUUCAAAUCGAGCUUAAUUUAUCAGAUGGAAGUUUAGGGUACUGUAGUUUGUUUUAAAUGGCUAUAUUGCAUUAUCUAGGCCUUUGUUACAGAUGCACAAAGCAAACUGUGCAUUUUAUCUUUCUCUGAAGGAGAAAGAAAACCAAGAAGCGGUGUUUAUGUUUGUUUAAUACGUCUUUAAAGCAACUAAUCCAUGACUGUUACUUGUUAGUUUGCUGUAUAGCUUGUUUAACUAGCAGGUCUUCCCUCACUUUUGACCAGUUUAGGAUUCUGUGAUUUCGUAUUUGCUGAAAAAAAGAAAGUCAUAUAGAUUUUUUGUUGUUGUUGGGUGAAGUAUGAAGCAAACCACCUGGUUAAAGUUUUUUUAUUUAGCUCCCAAACUUGUUUCCUUUUAAAUGCAAAGGUUAAUGUAAAAAUAACAGAGCAAUUUCUGUGAAAGAAUUUACAAAUGUUUUUUUUUAAAUAACCAUAAAAUAAGAGAACUACAAAAAUAUGUUGACUUCAUGUAAGAGUAGUCCUAAAAUUAAUACAUCUGGGUACAAAUAACAGAACAAUUACUAAAGAAAAAUAGAACUUAGGGUUAAAAAAAAGAAUGCUGUUAAAACAGUCAUAAAGUGAAUAGAGAUCAUGGUGAUUAACAACAAUAGAAAAAUCAAUAUAGUCCAAUCUCUUAUUGAUUAUGAACUAAUUUCUGCAGAAACCAGUCCAAAAUAAUCAUUAAUCAAAGGUUUUAGUCCUCCUUUGUGAACAACGUGAGACUGUUGUGACAUAUUCACACAGGUCAUCAUAUUUCUCCCAGGCAAAAGAGUUUCUUCUGCAGUUAGCCACGUAAUGUCCAAGAGAUUCUCUUGUUGGUCCUGGAAUGAAUGCGACAACCCCUCGCAAAGUGAACAGCUGAUUGUCCAGCUCAAUGUCGACAGGGAUUUCAGGCAGUGGAUGCUAUCUGGACACUCUUGGGGUGAUUUCAGUGGCUUCAGACACUUGGACCUGCAUUUUAGCCUUCCUUGCAAUGCAGAACAAAGGCACUGGCAAAAGGAAUCAAAGGCACAGGCAGGCACGUGCACAGGGAAAGUGUAGUGAAUAAGAGACCUUCAAGAGACCA